GUCUCUUUGGAGACAUCUGAUAAAAUUGGAAUGAUACAAACAAGAUUAGCAUGGCCCUGCCCAAGGAUGACAUGCAGAAAUGUAAAAAUGUUACAAAUUUUU